GGACAAUGGGCGCAAGCCUGAUCCCAGCCAUGCCGCGUGAGUGAAGAAGGCCUUCGGGUUGUUAAAGCUCUUUUCAGCCGGGAGGAAAUCGUGGUCCUCUAUACAUAGGACAUGGAUGACGGUACCGGACUAAGAAGCACCGGCUAAACUACGU
rnacentral:rRNA from 1 species